rnacentral:rRNA from 1 species
UAGGGAAUCUUCGGCAAUGGACGAAAGUCUGACCGAGCAACGCCGCGUGAGUGAAGAAGGUUUUCGGAUCGUAAAACUCUGUUGUUAGAGAAGAACAAGGACGUUAGUAACUGAACGUCCCCUGACGGUAUCUAACCAGAAAGCCACGGCUAACUACGUGCCAGCAGCCGCGGUAAUACGUAGGUGGCAAGCGUUGUCCGGAGUUAUUGGGCGUAAAGCGAGCGCAGGCGGUUUCUUAAGUCUGAUGUGAAAGCCCCCGGCUCAACCGGGGAGGGUCAUUGUAAACUGGGAGACUUGAGUGCAGAAGAGGAGAGUGGAAUUCCAUGUGUAGCGGUGAAAUGCGUAGAUAUAUGGAGGAACACCAGUGGCGAAGGCGGCUCUCUGGUCUGUAACUGACGCUGAGGCUCGAAAGCGUGGGGAGCAAACAGG